UAGACUGUGGCGUCGAUAAGUCAGCCAUCUACUAGGCUCUUCAAAUCAUUGCACCGCACUGUACAAGCAACCUUAUAUGUAUGAAGAAAAUAAUUUUUUAUUUAUAUUACAUACUGAAUUAAAGGCUAAAUUAACAAAAACCAUGAUCCGUUUUAACAAAAAGACAACUUUGCCAGAAUACGUGUCAUUGUAUAAAACACAACGUUCCUCGGCCGAUAAAUUCUAGAACUUAUUUUUUAGUAAGAGGAAACUUUUCUUUCGUUUAUAUCACCUAUCGAAUAAUUCAAAGUCGAAGAAGUCGUCUGAAUCUUCAAAUUCUCACGUGGUUUGCGGAGGGUUAUUACAGGAAUGAUUUUUAUUGGUCGUUGAACCGUCUCCAUAUUGUUACUAAUAUAUUAGACAUAUUACAACUUUGAUGGAAAAAUUUAGUUAAAGCAUGACUAAAAAUUUUCUGAAAUUGUUUCACGUUUCGUAAUACUUUAGCAAAAUUUCGGCAUAAUUUCAAUAUAAAAUUACUCAUAAAAAUUCAAAUUUAUUUCAAAUUUAAAUAAAUUUUAAUAAAAAAUUUAAUUCAAUUUGCAACAAAAUAUCAGUAAUGUUUUUCCAGCAAAGAAAAGACAAUUAUCUUUCUACUUACAACUACCUACUUCAUGGAAGACAAUUUUGCUGAAAUACAAAUAUGAAAAUAAUUGUCUUGAAUCAUUAAAAAGUUUAUAUUGGACGUUUAAGCUGCUUGCUAGAAUGUCAAAAUUUCUUGUAGCAGCAUCAUGCUUGAGUGUCUUACAUAAUUAUUUUGACAGUCCAACAUAAAAUCAUUUUUUGUAUGUAGCUAGAUUUUUAGUUAUUACAGUAAAAUUAUUUUUUCCUUGUUCGACUUACGAAUUUUUGGAUUUAUGAUCGACAUUCUAUAUCGAUUAUAAAUAAAUUAAUAAAUUUAAGUAUUAUAAAUAAUAACAAACGAUUAAGCACUCGUUUAACUAGAUCCAAAAAGAAAAUAUUAAUUUUAUAAUAUUAUAUUCAAAGUUGUACUUUUAACAAAAAAAUAUUUCUUUACUUGUUAAAUUUAAUCUGUGUUUAAACUAAAUAUUAAUUUUAUCAAAUAUAAUUAUGAAAAAUUAUAAUCUUUAAAGAAAAUUUUGUUUCCUGAAUAAAGAUGUAUAAUAAUUUUCAGUAAUAAAAUAACUAUUUUGCAUUAAUAAUAAUUAAUGUUUUAUUUAUAUAAAAAAAAAAAUGCUGUCCGACUUAUAAUGAAUUCGAUUUACAAAAUCUCGAAAUAUAAUCCUGCCGUAAAUAGAGAGAUAUCUGUACGGAAAGAACAAUUUCACUAUAGUAUCUAAAAAUUUAGCUAGAUACAAAUCAGAAAGUAAUUUUACGUUGGACUAUCAAAAUAAUUAUGUAAGACGUUCAAACGUCAUGAUACUGCUCUAAAAAGUUUUCACAUUCUAGCAAUCAGCUUAAAGAUGCAAAUAUAAAUUUUUUAAUGGCACAUCAUAAUUAUUUAAAAAUCUAUAUUUCAGAAAAAUUGUCCUUUUCGUGUGCUAUGUCAAUUUUACGCUCCAGUGCAAUAUUUGAGUGCAAUAGACGAAAGAUGACAGAUGCAACAAUAUUGUACUUCUAACAAAAGUGAAAUUUAUAAUAUUUUAAACACUAUACGCCUGAAAAAUAGAAGUUGCAAAAAAUUCAUAUUUCCUUUUGUUACCAUGAUAAGAAAAGUUGAGAGCCAUUGAGUUUAAGAGACGAAGAAAGGGACAAGGAUAAGGUUGAAAAGAAACUUUCGAUAACUUUUUCAUUGCAAAUACAAAUGGGACGUCUUUAAAGGAACCCGAAUACGUUGACACUUUGCUUUGCGACAAAAAUGCAUGCAUUGUAAUGUUGGGUUCCCUGCAACGACAAAAAAGUUGCAGUUAAGGAUGAAUUACCAGCGUAGCGGAAAUACCAGAUGUAGCCGUUUUCGAACAUAAUUUGUUAGAAUACAUCGCUUCUCGAAGUGAGUUGAAAUAAUUUUAGUUUCGUAUUUACGAUAUUUAUGCAUACAAUUUCUUAACUAAAAUACAGACAUUCGAAUAUAUUUAUUGUGUUUAAUAAAUAAAACAAUUUCUUUUGUAAUAAAGAAAUGUUUUCAAAUUGUGUCAAAGUAUUACAUUUUUGUGUUAACUUUUCACAUAUUAUUUAUAUUACUUUCUAACAUUAUUAUCUUGUGUUAAAUUAACACAAAAAUUUGAGUGGUCAUUUUGGAAUAUAUGUUAAGAUGAAUCGAAAAUUUCCAAUUAUGCAUUUCUUACGUAAAAUAAAAACCUCUAAUAAACGUGAAAAUGUCUAACACAAAUGUAAAGAUAAAGGAGUUAGUUAAACCACGAUUAAAGUUAAUACACAUUAAUAAAAAUAGACAUUAGACGAGCUUAUAACAAGAUAGCCUCUAUUAUUUACCGUUACAUUCUACGAAAGGUAACGAUCGAAUAAAAGCCAAUGUUUCUAAUUUAAUCUGGGCCUUUAGCACAGCGAGUAAAUACAACUCUCUGCGUUGCAAUUGCUAUAAUUCUAAAAUACCCCAUCAAUUACUGUAAUCGCCUUAUUCGAGGCUCUUCUUCAGACUUCUUAAUAAUUAAAUGCUGUUCAAUUGCCCACGUUACCAAUUAAUCAAUUUAAUAUAAACUUUUCUAAUUGUUCGACUGAUUCAGUAAGGAAACUUUCAAGCAGCAAUUCUUUAUAUAAUUUUUAAAAAUCUUUCAAGACUUUUUUAUGAUUUUAUAACUUUAUUUUAUAAUUUCACGUCAAACGAUUAAUGCCGAUCAACAUUUUGACGAGUGACAUUCAAAUUUAUCAUAUUAAAUAGCCGCUAAUUAAUUAUUUUAAAAUAACCUCGAACCGUCAACAUAGUAAACUUUCUUGUAAGAUAGCGACUACAUUUUUCUAGUAAGUUACGCUACCCUGGUAAGAGCAUACUUUGGAUUUCAUAAUUAUCAUCGUUUGCUUCUUCGGCGGAUUUAAGAAAAAUAUUAAUUUAAUUAUUAAUAUAUAAAUAUUAGCUAUUAACGUUUAGCUAUUUAAUCUCAGCGUUGGGUAUCUGUACUUAAACAAUAAUUAUUACGUAUAGACAGUGACAAAAUUGUCACUCUUUUAACGAAGUCCAAUUAAAUAAAGAAUUAUUGCUAUUUGUUAUUUAUUUAUUCAAAUGGCUUUUUAGAAGAUAACUUGGGAAUACCGUACGUAGAUCUCAUUCAUAUGUGCCCAACACUGAAACUCAAAAUUACGAAUUUCGGAAAUACUAAAACCUUUUUGAACACGCCGAAAUAAAAAAUAGGGAUUUUUAUAGAUAAAUGAAAUAUUUAAUAACAUUCGAAGUUGUAAUUACCGGAAACAGUUUUCAAAUUUUCCAAUUAUUUGAUAAAUGAUAAUAAUAUUAAUCGUAAUGCCUCACUUACUGUUUGUAAAUAGUAUUUCGGCGCUUUGAAUUUCACAAUAAAUUCUCAGGCAUCGCUGAUCGAAUGUAUUUUAAUACUAAUUUAACGCGGCUUCAGAGUAAUCGAUGGAGCGACAUUUGCAUUCGCGUGCACAUAUAGAGGCGUUUCUCGAUUACAGCGUCUGUAACGGAAUCUUUUUACUGUAACUCUACAUUUACAUAAUCCUUGUCUCUUACAUCGUAAUUAAGGAUGGUCGGAAAUCCAAAUCUGGGCACAUUCAUUCGACUCUUGUACAGUUUUGUCUUUUGGGAAAAAAAGAAAAGAGAGAAAAAAAAGAGGAAAACCUAGAUUGUUAGCAAGUAAACAACGUAGACUGCCCGGGGUUAGUUACGAAAAACAAAUUUUAUUGGUAUACAAAAAGAGUACUGCCUCAAAUCUUAGGGUAAAUUAAUCGCGUCAAUGGCGGCAAGAAAGAUCGUAAAAAGGAGUAGAAAACACGAAUGAAACGCAGACAGAAAUCAUGUUGGCUUCCUUCGGUGAUUAUUAUCGUAAACAAAGUACUCCGAUUUCAUUUCUUUCUCCACGAUAAUAACAGGAUAUCUCUAACAAUUGACGGAAAGCGAAUACGUUGACGUUGUAGCUUCUGAGAUGUAAAUUAGUUGUUACGUUGAAAUAAUUGUUCUCAAUUCAUAAACUAUAGUAUAUGAAGAGCUUUUCACGAAUUACGCAUCAAAGAUGCCGAAGAAACGAUGAACGUCAUUUACCGCUACACUUGAAAUGAGGUAUUCACAAUUCUCAAGUUUUGUUGAAGAAAACUCGACUAGUUUUACGAGAAAAAAAAAUUACGCUGUCACCUAAUAUAUAGGGUAAUUCCGAUAUUUAGGCCACUCGAGGAGAAAUAAAAAAAAAUAAGAGAGAAGAUAAUUUACAUGCAACCACUCAGUUACGUGCCUUUAUGUUUAUUAGUAUUGCGUUGUGAUUUUAGUUUUUUACUGUUAAUUAAUCCCUAACAGGACAAGAUACCGUAAGAAUAUUCUAGAAUAUUCUAGAUAUCGUACGAAUAUUCGUACAAUUUCAUACGUAUAUCAUGCGAAUAUUCGUAUAAUAUCGUACGUAUAUCAUACGAAUAUUCGUAUAAUAUCGUACGUAUAUCAUAUGAAUAUUCGUAUAAUAUCGUACGUAUAUUUAUACUAUAUCACAAUAUUCAUUAGAUAUCAUGUGCUGUUAGAGAUAUUAACAAAAUCAUAAUAAGUUGAAUCGAUUUGUCAACGUGGCGCAAUCAUAUAUUGUAAUCUAUAAUACAUAAAACAAUUAUUGUAAGAAAUGUAAAAGGCUUAGCAUUAUUUCUUGAUACAAAAGUGUAGAGGGAUAGUAAAGGAAUACAGCAAAAUAGAAAGUUUAAAUCUUUAUAUCCUUUGUUCAGGUUCUUAUACAUCUCAUCUAUUUUGAUAUAUGACACUUUUAGUGCACAGAAUUAAUGCCGCAGUAAAAACGCGCUCUAUCAUUGGAAGGCAACAUUUGCUCCUGCACAGAGCACACAAAGUGCACUUUGCUGCUAUCUGCAUGUAACUUUUUAAUAUUGCGUUAUUAUUACUUUGUAUAUUUAUUAUUCUUAUUUUCUAAUGAACUUUGUCAAAACAUUUUAUAAACCAUUAUCUUAUUUCACGUUUUAUUUAUAAGCAUUGUAAAUUAUCUACGUGCCCUGUAUCUCAUACGUAAGUAUUAUAGACGUACAUCCUAUUUCUAUGACAAAAUGCAAGGUGUUUUUAAAGUUUUUUUAAAUAUGUUAAAAAUAAAUAUUUCGUAUUACUAUUUUUUUUUUUUUUGUAGUAGCCGAAGUUUUCAUUGGUAUAGUUCAUUUUUCUUAAACAUAAUAAAUGAAUACUUGAUACACAAAAUUGUAGAUAGGUGCGGCAUACUAUAUAUACCGGAGUUACCCUAGUGAUUAUAUAGGAAAAGUAUUAUGUGAUCACUUUUCUUUCAAUUCUCGAAUAUCCCGUGUAUUCGCGAUAUUAUACUGCCAUAUCUAUAUUUAAUUGAUUAGACGUGUUUUCGUUGUAUAUGUAAGGAUCAUUACAUUAAAUGGUACAAUCUACAUAUUCGGUGCACGCUUGUGGUAGCGUUUUGAUUUUGUUCGAUUCUGUUGAUUGCCCACAUCGUUAGAAAGUUAGAACUUUGAGAUAUCUAAAUUUUGCGCAAAAUACUGUCACAAUCCAGCAGACACGAUAUAUGUUACAUGAUGAUAUAUUGUAUAUGUUGUGCAAUAUAUAUCCCGGACUAAAACAUUGCAGCAAUAUUACAGUAACGUUGUAACAUUGUUGUAAUAUUACUGCAAUGUUUCAUGCUAUCUGGGAUGUUAUAUGAAAGAUAACCUUUUACGUAAAACAUAACCUCAUAUAUGAUGUACACAUAAGUAAACACCGGAUAUAGCAGUAAUCCAAGUGAGAAUUGAGAUGAGAUAGCCGAGGAUUUUUGGAGUACCGACAAUUUUCAACAUUGAGUAACAACAUUGUAAUACUGGUACGACAACAUUGUACUCAAUACUGGUAUAAUAUUAAUGAAAUACAAAACACAUUUCUUAUUAUAUUAUCUAUUCUUAUGGACAGAUUGAAAUCAAACUACCACAGAUUAUUUGUUACCAUCUAAACUCUAAUAAAUUAAGCAUCGGUUCAUUAUUUGUUAUUUGUUACUUGGAAAAAUUAACAAUUCGUUAUCUGAUUCCCCUCCCCCUCACUACUGAAAUACGAGAUAAUAAUUUCUCUCUCUCUCUCAUAACAGUAGUUAAAAUUGAAACUCUUUAUAAUGUAAAUCCCUAUACUGCAACACUACCAAAUAUGAAUACUGAUUCUUAAUACUGUAACAAUAAUAAUACUAUAUAAAAAAUUGAUAUACCGAUUAUCUAUAUUGCAAGAGUAACAAAUAUUGGUACUAAUUUUCAAAUAUUAUACCAAAGAUUACAUCGACACUGAUUUUCAAUAUGACAACGGUUUUCUAAUGUAAUGACCCUUAGAGCUCGCUUUAGCCCGAAGAAAGUAAGUCAAGCCUUACCCAGUUGUAUUACUUGUAACGCAUUGCGUAGUAAUCUUUUUACGGGAAAGAAUUCAGCCGCGUGUUUCUCUGACAGCGUAGUUCUAUGCCUCGUGCUAGAAGACAAUCUUUCAAUUUCAAUAAAGAGAGAGUACAUCUAUCCGGCAAUGGUACUGAUGCUCAACACAUUUCAUAUAUCGUCCGAAGUAUGUCAAAAAAGUUCUGUUUAUUGGAUGUCCCCCCCACCCCAAAAAAACUUUAUUUGACGUCCUAUAAAGACAUUUAUGCAGACAUUUUAGAGAUUAUUUGAGAAUCGUCAAUAUGACUAAUUUCUUAAUUCUUUAAAAUUAAGUUUUUUUUUUAAUUCAACCCAUUGAACAUUUUGUUGACAACUUGUUAAGUAAAAAUGUUGCAAGCAAGUUGCCAAUAAGAUGACUCCUCAUUUAAUGCAGUUGCGAGCAAAUGAAUUACACUGCUUUGCUUUCGCACGAAAUGUUAUCUGGAUAAUUUCAUUAAAUAAUAUUCGCUGAGUUUAUUUUACAUGUUCGAUUUAUAGACAACUUGACAAUAUCGUAUUUUUAUCAUUACAUAAUAGACAACUAAAGAACGUCUAAAGGACAUCUCGAAUACGGCAGUUUACGCUGAUGUAUGGCCGCGACGAAAUUGUAAUUCUCGCAAUAUUAUGACUUUUUUUUUAUUCUAAUUUAUCAGAAGCAUGUUUUAAAGAGAAUUUCUUCAAGUCGAAUUCGUAAAAUUGUACUCCAAGAUAAAAAUAAAUAAUACGUAUCUUAAUAAUAAAAUUUUCUUUAAUUCUACUUAAAAAUUAAUUCAGUUUGAUAUUUCUGUGAAAUAUACAGGGUGUCUCAUAAACACCGAACAAUAUUUGAACAGCGUCUUCCAAAGAUAAAGUAUUUUUGAAUACAAUAACGGUAACAUGUAGAACAAUAAACGUUGUAAAGAUAUCCGUAUGACGAAUUUUGUACAUGUUAUCUGGAUUGGACGUCUUUGAACACUUACAUCAUAACGACAUCUGUUAGACAUUUUUGGACAAUACAUUACAUAUAGAAAAGAUAGGACGUCUUUGGAUCAUGUUCAAUACAUGAAAUACAACAUCAAAUUGUUGCUUGGAUUUAAUGUAUUCUAUUCUCACUUGGAAACAUGGCAUCAAUAUGAUACUUUCCUCAUUCUAACUCAAUAUAACUGUUAUAUAACUGUUAUAUCAUAUAUAUGAUAUGUAUCAUAUUAUAUUUGUAUUGCUGAGUAGAAAGUUAUGAUAUUGAUUUUAUAUGUUACUGUUAAUUGGUGUUUACUAAAAUUAUUUGCUGUACAAUUUACAUAAUUAGUAGACUGCGGAUAUUUAUGCAAAAACAUAUAAUUGCAUAUUUUGCAUAAAAUGCAUAUUUUGCAUAAUUGCAUAUUUGCAUAAAUCGAGCAUAUUAUUUGCAUAAAAUGCAUAUUUUUCCUAAACUUUACAUAUCCCAUGUAACUUUGAAGUAGAUAUAUGGAGAUCAUUUGUAGCUUUAUGGAAUGUCUGCGUUAUCGAUGAAUUUCAGUCUGAUCACGUGAUCACUGAUCAAUCGGAAUAGCGAGUGUAUUUACGUUUCGGUCUCGGUUGUAUUUACGUUCUGCGGAUUACUACGCGUGCUAUCUGCCAGUUUAUUUUCGAGCACUGAGCAGUUGAUAGGGUGAAUAGCGUGAAUAGAGAAGUGAAAAGAAAAGAAAUGCCGAAAGUUAAGAAAAAUAAAUACGUGCUGGUGAAAAGCUGGAUCGACCAAAUCAGCGACAAAUAUUUAACAUAUGACGGAAAUUCUGUUUAUUGCAAUGGAUGUAACAAAGAGAUUACAUGUGAUAGAAAGUCACAAUUAACUCAGCAUAUUUCAACAUCUACACAUAAAAUGAAUGUGUUACAUUUAGAAAAUAACGAACACAGUGAAAAUAUUAACGAAUCAGAUGGAAAAAAGCAACAGUCAAAAUAUGCAAAUACUUUUUACGUCGAUCUUUGCAAAGCUAUGAUUGCUAUUAAGAUGCCCUGGCGUUGUCUUGACAAUGAGACAUGGAGAAAUUCCCUCGCUAAAUAUACACGACAACAAAUUCCGAAUGAGUCAACUUUGAGGAAGAAUUAUUUGGAUGUCUGUUACAAUUCGGUCAUCGAAAAUAUUAGGUCAGAUAUUGGCGAUAAUUAUAUUUGGAUAUCUGUAGACGAAACCACAGAUAAACUCGGUCGUCAAGUCGCAAAUUUAAUAAGUAAUGAUUUUUUACUUAAUCCUAAAUUUUAUACCUAAUACUUAAAUUUUAUUAACACGUUGAGCGCCGAUCAGGUUUUUUAGGUGUGCCGCAGGAGCCAAAGCUUGAAAUUAUCCAAUAAUUUGGAAAUUAUUUUUAUUUUUAUUUUGUUUUGAGCGAACAAUAUUUGCCGUGGCACACGGUGUGUGUCGUCGGCUACCGACGAAAAUAGUCAGUGUCACACGGUGUGUGCUGCCGGUGCUCAAUGUGUUAAUUAAUUUUAAUUAAUUUUAUUAUUUAACAUUUUUAUCAAUUUUCUUGAAUUUUUAGUCGGUAAACUAUGUGAGGAAACUACUACACCUCAUCUAAUUUCGUCUCAAGUUCUGGAGAGAACCAAUCAUACCACUAUUGCUCGCUUUGUAAAUUCAAAUAUGAAAAUCUUGUGGCCAAGGGAAUCCCAUGAAGAACGAGUUCUAUUACUUGUAACAGAUGCAGCUGCAUAUAUGUUAAAAGCUGCAAGGGAUCUUCAAAUUUUCUAUCCAAACAUUAUACACUUAACAUGCUUGGUGCAUGGGUUUAAUAGAGUGGCUGAAGAAGUUCGCCUUCACUUUCCUCUCGUUAAUACUAUAAUAUCUUCAGUAAAAAAAUUUUUUUGAAAGCUCCGCUUCGUAUAGAAGAAUAUCGAGCAAAAUUAGGAAAUAUUCCAUUACCACCUGAACCAAUUUUAACAAGAUGGGGAACUUGGAUCGAAGCUGCACUUUUUUAUGCAAAUAAUUUUACUAGUAUUCGAGAGGUUAUUGAGUCUUUCAAUUCAGAAGAUGCUAAGUCGAUCAUUUCAGCGAAGAAUGUACUUCAAAAUCCACAGCUUGUCAAAGAUUUAUGUUAUAUUAAAACAUAUUUUAAAAAUCUUCCUAAAGUAAUGACAAAACUGGAAUCAGUAGGAUUACCUUUAAUUGAAUCGACUGAAAUAGCAAGGUCGUGUAUUGAAGACUUGAAAGCGAUUCCAGGUCCUUGUGGACAAAGAAUUUCAGAAAAAAUACAGCAGAUUCUGAAUAGAAAUCCCGGAGUGAAGGAAAUAUUUAAAAUUAGUGACGUAUUAAAAUGUACGCCUAAUUCCGAAAUUCCUGAAACGAUUCCAUCUUCUUUAUGGAGCAAAUAUAAAUAUGCUCCCGUCACGUCCUGUGACGUUGAAAGAUCCUUCUCUGCUUAUAAACUAAUACUAUCAGAGAAAAGGCAUAGUUUCACUCCGGCUAAUCUCGAAAAAUAUCUUGUUACUUACUGUCAUUUAAAUUACAACCAAUAAUAUGUAUAUAUUGCUUUAUGUAUUUAAGUAUAUUUAUUCUACGUUAUGUUUUAUGUAUUAUGUAUUAUGUUUUGUUUAUGCGCAAGAUUUGGUUUUUCAUGUUCGAGUGAUUACAGUAAUUACUAAUCAGUAAUUACAGUGAUUAUACGUAUAUAAUUUUCUAAAUAAGAUGCGAAUUAUCUAUAUUUAUUUUGCAUAUCUUGCAUAUAUGCUGCAUAAAUAAUGCAUAUUUUUGGUGCAUAUAUUUUGCAUAUCCAGAUAUGCAUUCAUUAAAAAAUUUAACUUUAUUAGUUCAGCACAGAUCUUUUGUUAUUAUUACCUAAAUCUAAAAAAAUGUUACUGCAUAAAAAUCCGCAGUCUAAUAAUUAGUUACAUAAAUAUAUCAUCGUCGUUACAUUUGAAAAAAAAAAUCAAAAUUAUAACUACCCAUACAGUACAGACAUUCAUAGAACGUUUAAAAGAUGUUCCUUGAGUAAAAAGUGCUGUGUGGAGUACACACUGCAACAACUUUCACAUUAUAUAUAUCUUUUACUCAAAAGUACCCGGAAUUGUCUAUUGAAAUUCUUUGCCGCGAAGUUGGCGUAACUGUUGGCACAAUGUUUCAUAAAUUUAAAAUAUCGAAAAAUUCUUGAAAACGCUACGUGUGCAUAUAAAACCGUAAAUGUGAUUUUUUUCACCAGGGAUGCAAUCUCGAUUUUCAAUAGUUUGAUACCUGCCUAACAAUGCGAAAAUAGAUCGCACGGAGAACUUAAAUUAUUAAUAAUCGUGAAACAAAUUUCGCUUUUUUCAGAGAAGCAAAGAGUUGUCUAAAAUUCGCAAAUCUUAUUAAACUGUUCUUAAAAUUUCUUAUUAUAAAAAAACGUAAAAUUUCUUAUUAUUAUAAAAACGUAAUUCAAUAUUCAAGAUUUCUCGCCGGUUCUAAGUUUGCCAUCUCAAACUUUACCAAAAUCGUCUUUAAUUUCAUUAAAUAUGAUCACAAUGGUAUUCCCUCCGAGUUUCUGUCGUGAUAAAUCCGCCGUUACCAUGGAUCCUUUUAAAAAAAUUCUUUCCACCAUCAUAGAUCUCUUCGGAAAAUUUUUUUUGUCGUUAUUCUUUUCCGUUGUCGAGAUUCUCCCGAAAAUUCUUUUUAUCGUUAUAAAUUCGUCUUCUGAUCUCUUCAUAGAAUCUUUUUCUCGUUGUAAAUCUCUUCGAAAUUCUUUUCUCGCAGAAAGUUCUUUUCAACAUUGCAGAUCCCUACAGAGAACUUUUUUCAUUAUAUAUAUCAUCAUGUCAUACGUUUUCCAUAAACUUUUUUCCUGAACAUUAUCUUCCAUAAAUAUUAUAUAUACCCCGAUAGGACAACAUUUAUUAAAUUAUAUAACAAAAUCUUGCAAAAAUUAGAAUCUUCAAUUAUGUAUUUUCAAAAAAAGAUUUACAAAUAGAUCUAGAAGUACUGACCUUUUAUAAAAUAUUGGUAGCUGCGCAACUUUCUCGAAAUAGUAUUUUUGUAAAACUAUGACGAUAUAUGGCGAAUCAUCUUAGUGGUAUAUUUAUAAAAAUAAAAUUGUUCACCGGUUGAGAAAAAUAUUUUAGCUGUUACAUAUAAAACAUUUAAAAACGUAAUUAAUUCGUGCUUUAAAAAAUGCACAAUAUUCUUUAAUUAUAACAUGAAAAUAUUGCAACAUAAAAUAAUACAUAUUCAGCAUGAAAAAAUUUUAAAUAAAAGAUCAAACGGUUUUUCCGAGAAAUAAAAUUUGUAAAUGAUUUAUAAAAUAUUACCCCGAACUUAAUUUUGUCUAAUUAUUAACAAAUUAUUUAAAAAUUUAAUUCCAACAAAACUACUUAUGGCACAUUAUCUUAGCUUUAUUGUGAAAUUUUCAUCAAUUUAUUACGCCAUUAUUAAUUGCUUAUCGGGGUAUUUUAUAAAAACAUAGCUUCAACAAAAACUAUCAAAGAGCUAUCUUUGUAUCAAUAUUCUUUUUUAUUUUCAUAUGACAUAGUGUAAUGUAUCUUUGUCUCGCAUUUCUCUCAUACAGCAAAAAUAAAUCCAAUUCUAAUAAAUAAAAUUAGUAAAGCGAACAUUGAUCUUAUACUCUUCUUUCGAAAGAAGAAAAUAGCAAAUCGUAAAAUGUUCCUCUUGGAAACAUUAUCAUUGUCUUUUUGUCGACACGCAGAGCCUAGUUCACUCUUUCUUGUUACACAUAAAAAUAGAAGAAAAAAGAGUACUGUCUCUCACAAAGAAGAAAGCACAUGAUGCUCUCGCUCAUUCGAAUUUCUACGGACAACGAAUUAUUUUAAGAGGAUCGCGCCGUAUUUUUGCUCUAAACAUUAUGUUUGGAAUUGUGUUGUGAAUCCUCCGGGAAGUUUCUCGUCAUUUUAAAACGGACAGGAAGAAAAACCCUGCAUCUUUUCCCCUCAAAGUUCUUCCCCUUCGAGAGACAGAACGUCGCUACCAAAAGCAUGUCAUGACCUAUAGUGCCUAAUUAUCGAUUAGCGGACACCGAACGAUUGAGAAUCGAACUGCCGGAAUUUCGGCUUGCGCAGCGCAGAUAUCCGUGGACUUUCGACGUCUCGCGAUUUUCGGUUCGUUUACUAACAUUACUUUGGUGUUCGAAGAAGAAAGAAGGGAAUUUUUGCGAAGAAAUGCAAAUUAGAAAUUUUAUUAUUGCUAAAAUAAAUGUUCCACUUACUGACGGUGUCCCAAAUUAAUGAUCCGAUCUUUUUUAAUUAAAAGAUUGAAGUUUUAAUGAAAUGUUAUAACAGUAAGCAGACCAAUAGGGUCUAGGGAUAUUCGGUUCCUCAGGAAGUCAAGUGCUAUAAAUACAAUUAUGUAAUGUUAUAAUUUAUAUAAUGAUUGAAGUUAAAUUAAACUAAAUUAAAUAUAUUUGAACAAAAAUUAAGGUCGAACUUCCAAUAUUUGUAGCACUAUUAGUAUAUAAUUGAAUAUUUAUCUAUAAUUCUAUACAAAAAGAAACAUUUUUUUAAUGCUGUAGAUAAUUUUGAUAUGUCCGAAAAGAAUUUUAACUACGUAACUUUCAAGAGGUGCUUUAGUCUUAAAAAUUAUGAAAUUAUACACAUGUAAAAAUCGUAAUCCUUAGAUUUUGAGGCUUAUUAUUUUAAAGAGACACGGCAUAGAGUCCUUUGUGAUUAAUGGUAACAAUACAUUUUUUGUAGAAAUAUAAUGAAAUAACUUACUCAAUAUCAAAUAAAAAUAGAUAAAUUAAGUAAAGAAAAGAUUUUAUUUUGCCUUUAAAAAAUUAAAUUAAGUAUGAUUUUAAUUGAGCUUACCGUAAUUAAUUGAUCAAGUAAUACCUGUGUUAUUUUCGUUAACAUAAAUUAAAUUGUUAAUUUUUGUUGCUCUAAACAUGGAAAAACAGAUUAAAUUAAAAACGAGCAAUUGCAUAGUUGUAAAUUUUGCUGCGAGCAACUCGCCUAUUAACGAGAUUUCAGAAUUAUCUUCAAAACUCUCGUUAAUUUAUUCGAUGAUUAACUUAUCCAAUAUAAUAUCUGUAAUAUUUAAUUAAAUCGAGUAAUUUAUCAGUACUUUUACAUGAAUUAAUUUUAUUAAUUUAUUUAAUAUAUAAAAUUACAUAGCUAGAUGGGUUUUAUUAACUUCCUGUCGUUCUGGUAACACACACAGAACGGUUACUAUAAUUGUAAAAUAAAAUCUAUGUCAUAAUGAUUAAAACACUAGAAAAAUUAUUAUUAUAAGAGAGAAGGCCUAAUAAACAAAUUGUAAUGCAAAGCCAAACAAAAUAUGUUUAUUAAAUUAAUUUAACGUAAUAAAAAUAUAAAAUUACUUAAAAAGUUCACAUUUUACAUAAUAUUUAUUAAUAAUUGUGUAAUCAAUGAAUAUAUUAUAAUUAAAGUAAUAUAUUAUUUUAUGUUAAAAUGAGAUAAACGUAAAUACAAUUUAUUAGGCUAGCUCAUACAGAAUGUUGUAUCUUUUAUAGUCAAGAUCUUUGCAACUGUUAUGUCUAGCUUGUUAUUAUUUUUAUAUCGACAUAAUUUUAUAUAAAAUAAUUUUAAAGAAAAUUAUAAUUGUAGUGAUGAUAUUCGAUAUCUUAAAUCGACAAAAAGAUUCUAGAGCUUCGUAGGUCAUCAGGUACAUCAUAAUUAUGAAUUAAAUUAUAAUAAUUAUGUUAUUUAUUUAAUUAUAUAUUCAAAAUAUACUGCAAUUAUUAUGUUGUGUAUGUGUAUAUAUAUAUAACAAUAAUAUAUAUAUAAAAUAAUUUAUAUAUAUAUAUAUAUAUAUAUAUAUAUAUAAAUAUUUUAUGAUUCCUUUUUUAUAUAAAACAUUAAACGAACCGAACAAAAAGUACAGUGUGUUUCAUGGAACGUGUUAGAAAAAAUUCAAAAGAAAGAUUAAAUUAAGGACGACGGAUAUCAUAUAAUUAAAAAUUUUUGUUGCACGAUAAUUCCGUUAAUUAGAGUAAUGCCGAUUAAGUUAAAACUUGAUUGCUUGCAGAUACUUUCAUGCGAUCUCGGUAACUGUUCCAAAAACUACGACUUGAAAAAUUGAAAAAAAAAAAAAAAACAUUCGUGAAAUGCGUUACAUUUGAAAUUGUAUUAAAUAAUCAUAUUAAUUAUACAAAAAAAUUAUAAAAAGUAUUUGAAAAAUUGUUCUACAAAAUAUCCACGAACAAAUCCCUCGGAUAUCUGAGCUGCGCAAGCGGUGACUCACGAUAUCGAUAUUUCCGACAAUGUUAAUUAGACCGUAGCAUUUUUCGUGAGCUUAACGAUUUUAUUCGCGCGAGAAAGACGUGGAAAAGAGAAAAAGGAGGCAAAAGGAGGAAUGAUUUUUUUUCGUUUUUUUUUCUGGGGGAGAGUUUUUAAAAGGUGUCUUGACGAUUUCAAAGUUCGUCGAAUUUACGGAGAUUCAGCGAACGGCUCCGGGAUUCUAGGGAGUUAGUUUUCACGAGGCAUAUAUAUACGAUAAAAACAUACGUCAAUUAAUUAAAAAUUAUACAUGCGCACACGCGGGAAAGAGAACGCGCGCGCGCGCGUACAAACAAAGAAAGCAUUCGAUUAUAGAGUCACUGCAUCAGUCAAUGAACAAAUAAGAAAUUUAACUGAUCAUAAACAAAAACGACUUAACUGAUUACAGUUGCAAAUUAGAUCUAAGCCAUAUUAAUUAAUUUGCAAUUUAUAAUGAAGUUUUAUUAUUUAAAUAUUUUCCUUAAACAGUUAAAUUACUAGAUAAUUCAGCGACUGGUGCAGUGAUCCUAGUUGAAAUGCAAUUGCGUCAAGUAGUAACGUUUUAUCCUAAUAACAAUAAAUAAUUAUCCAUUACAAAAAAAAAAAGAAAAAAAACGCAAUUGCAUGCGUGUAAAUUCUUACCACGUAAAAUUGCAUCAAUCUUGAGGCGUGCUCUUUGAGGCUUGCGUGUUGUCCACAAGUCCAACGUCCACUUCCAUGUAGACUAACGUUAAUUUCGAUUUAACUUAUUGUUUACCCUUUUCUAAUUUGUAAAAAUAAAAAAUGACAAGCAAGUUAAAUCGAAAUGAAAGUUAAUCGUUGGCAGAAACGCGCGCAUAAAUCGUGCCACUGCUAAUUCAAACAUUUAAAACUCUUUUUUAGCCAAUAUAUGGAUUUAAGAUUAGGUAUACAGUAAAAAAGAAAUAAUACACUCUUAUGGAUGUCUUCUAAAAGUCUUCAGAAUUAGAAGCGGUUUUUUUUCACAUUCUUUUUAACUUUAAAUAUUGGUAUUGGAAAAUAUAUUUAUAAAAAAUUUUGAAAAAUAUCAUGAAUGUAAUUGCAAGCAACAUACAAUGCCAACAUACAAUGCCAACAUACAAUGCCAACAUACAAUUUAAUGAAAUUAGUUAAAUUUUUAAAGAUAUUUUUAAUAUGAAAUUCUUUAUACAUUAAACAUGAACCUGUUUAGUUUUUAACAUUUUAAUAGUCAUUUUUGUUAAAAAUCGAUACACAGCAUUGAAUGUUCCAUUACAAAAAUCCACUACAAAAUUUUGAACUUUGUUAUACAUUUCCUCUAUAACUAACCGGUAAAAAAAGGUAAAAAAAUGUCGAGGUAAUAUUAUUUGUAUAAAUAAGAUUAUACUUUAUGCUUAUCCUUUUUAUUCUUAAUAUUUAUUAUUUGUCUUGAUAUUGCAUGGGCGUACGUUCGAGAGAAGACCAAAAGAGGCGCUUGCUCCCUUCAUUCCCCAAAAUUUUAGUACUGACAAUGAGAAAGAAUUAAAAAUUGUAUUAAAUUAUGAAAAUAAUUUAAUAAAAUAUAUUCUUAGAUUUUUUUAUUAUACUAGCUUCUUUCUUUGCUUUACUAAAUCUUUCGCGCUCGAAAAAAAAAAAAUUAUUUAAUAAACUAAAACAGAAAGUUUGGAUACCGUAGACGCAUCAACUGUUGACGAAUUCGACAAGUAAAAAACAUUUCUUAUUUUUAGCAAAAACUCUAAAAAGAAAUUCAUCUUUCUUUCUUGAAUAUGCACUCGGUUAAGUGUAAAGGACGUGACAAAGGGCAACUGUAAAGGCGAAACGGGCGCGCCGUGAUUGUACGCAAUUUUACGUGGCGUAGCGUUCGCCGAGCGUGCGACUCUCAUCCCGUAUGUGACCCGCAUACGCGCUUGUACAUAUUAUACAUAGAUAGAACCAGGACAAUUAUGAGAGAUACUGUCCCGUCCCGGAACGGAACAGACCGGACCAGACAUAUAUCAGCCGCCGCUCUCCUUCGGGGAGGCCGUGUCUCCCAUAGCGAACUGUACAAUCAUGCGGGGGUGACGGGCUUCAUUAGGAAAGAGAGCAUACCCCGCAUAUUAGAACUUUGUGACUAGCCUUUUCAAUCAUUCGUCCGCAUCAUUCGUGCGCGGGCGAAUAAUCACGUUAUGCUCAAGCUUGCAUAUACUCAUACUCAUUUUAUAUAUAUACACAUUAUAAAUACAUAUGUAUAUAUUAUAUACAUAACACGUAAACACGCUAGAUCGACAAAUUUAUUUCAUAAAUCAUUAUACAGAAUAAAUACAUUCCUCAUUUAUUUUAUAUAUAUUACGUGUUCUAAUAUAAACAGAACAUCUGACACGUUUGUCGGAAUAAAAUUAAAGAAUUGACUUCAAGAUAAUUGAUCAAAGGGGUUAUUAAUUUUAAAUAAAAGGGUUAUGGGACCCUAAUGAAUCUCAAAAUAUAGAAUAUUUUUCAACGUCAUGAAAAAUGUUUAGUUUAAAGGGAUAGAGAUAUAAUGUGUUUCUGUUCUGUAUAUUUGUUUAAAAAAGUAAGACGCAAAACUACAUUGAAACGUGUGACUAAUAUAUGAACGCAUUUGUCUCAAAAUAUUAAAGCGAUAGCCCAACUUAAAUAUUAUCCGAUCAAUUUGAAAUUUUAAAGCAACGUGUUUUUAUUAGUAACACUUGAUAUCGGGUUUACAUAGCUUUUCUGAUAGGCUCAAAAAUCUAUUAAAUUGCUCAUCAAUUUAAUAAUAUUACAUAUUCUAGUAACAAACAAUGACUAUAUUUCAAGUCCGACGAAUACGCAAAGUCGGAGAUUGCAAAAAUUAUCAGCACUAAAAUCCACUGCGACUAAUGUAAACAAUCUAUUAUUUAUGUUUAACAUCGGUCCAAAUUUCAAACUUGUUAUUAUUAUCUAUUUAUUUUCAUAUUUACUCUAAUGUUGCGUCUUACUUUUGCUUCAAUAACAACGUAUACUUUUGAAACAGAAACAUGUUAUUUAUCCCCAUUUAUUUCUUCUCUCUCUGUUGUAAAAUACCCUAUUCUUUAUUCGUACAUACCAUGCGCAUACGAUAAUUAUUACACAUGUAUAAAUGUGCAUGUAUAAAGUGAAACGGCGGUUUGUAUCUCUGUAGUUUUUACAAUAUCGCUGUAGUAUUUAAGAUCACAGAUGCGGGAGAGAAAGAGACAGGAUUCUCACGGGGGUGGAAGCUUUGCUACUUGUUUUCUCGAAUCGGUUCCUCCCUCACUUAUUCCUUGCUUGAUAAGACCGGGGAACUCUCGCCUGCCGCCGAGCGCCAAAACCACGAGACAAAGAAAUAAUCUCUCUAACGCAAGUUACGUAUUAAUAAAUUGUAUAUUCAAAUAAUAUAAAUUGCACAGGGGGCAAGUUACAUAGGAUAUAUACAUAUAAGCCAUUAGUGUCUUUAAAGUAUCUCUCUGCAAAAGUGAGAACUGUUCGAUAAAGGCGCGAUUGACCUGUUUAUUCGUGAAACAUGUAUUAGAUUCACCGGUUGCUUUCGAUCCCCGAUGCGUUUCAGAGAUGCGUCUUUGCAAAAAAAAA